rnacentral:misc_RNA from 1 species
AAAGUCGUAACAAGGUUUCCGUAGGUGAACCUGCGGAAGGAUCAUUAUCGAGUUUUGAAAUGGGUUGUAGCUGGUCUUUUACGAGGCAUGUGCACGCCCUGCUCAUCCACUCUUAAACCUUAUGUGCACCUUUGUAGAGUUUGGUAAAAGUCAGUUGCAAGACUGAUGGGAUCCCUACUCUAUGUCUUUUAUACAAACGCUUUAGUUAUAGAAUGUUAUCUUUGCGUCUAACGCAUUAUAAUAUAACUUUCAGCAACGGAUCUCUUGGCUCUC